rnacentral:rRNA from 1 species
UAGCACAAAGUAUUAAAGGUAACGCCUGCCCAGUGAUAUUUUAAACGGCCGCGGGAUCCUCCACCGUGCAAAGGUAGCAUAAUCACUUGUCCCCUAAAUAGUGACUAGUAUGAAUGGCCAAAUGAAGAUUUUACUGUCUCUUAUAGCCAAUCUAUGAAACUAAACUAUCAGUACAAAAACUGAUAUAUUAACAUAAGACGAAAAGACCCUGUGGAACUUCAAGCACCCCCCACCAUAAUGGGCCCCUGCUUUUAGUUGGGGCAACUUUGGAAAUAAGCAAAACUUCCAAUUUAAAUAUAGAUUAACACAUCUAUAUAAACACAAUGAUACGACCCAACAUAUGUUGAUCAAAGAACCAAGCUACCCCAGGGAUAACAGCGCCAUCCCCUCUUAGAGCCCAAAUCGACGAGCGGGGUUUACGACCUCGAUGUUGGAUCAGGGCCCCCAAACAGUGCAACAGCUGUUAAUGGUUUGUUUGUUCAACAAUUAAAGCCCUACGUGAUCUGAGUUAAGACCGGAGC